GACAGAGGGUGCAAGCGUUGUUCGGAAUCACUGGGCAUAAAGCGCACGUAGGCGGUCCACUAAGUCAGGUGUGAAAGCCCCCGGCUCAACCGGGGAAUUGCACUUGAUACUGGUGGGCUCGAGGAUGAGAUGGGUAGGCGGAACUCCAGGUGGAGCGGUGAAAUGCGUAGAUAUCUGGAGGAACACCGGUGGCGAAAGCGGCCUACUGGACCAUCACUGACGCUGAGGUGCGAAAGCUAGGGUAGCAAACGGG
rnacentral:rRNA from 1 species